GCCUCGGUGGCGGAACUGGUAGACGCGCACGACUCAAAAUCGUGUGAGAGCAAUCUCAUGAGAGUUCAAGUCUCUCCCGAGGUA
rnacentral:tRNA from 1 species